GAUGCAAUAAAGCGUGCUGAACUGCGAGCUUAUUUUACUACCAAAUCAACAUGUUUAUAUAUACCAAAUAUGCUGUUCUCUUCUCUUUAGUCACAGAAGCUGUUCUGGGAGUGACACUGGAGCAAAAAGAUCUCUCAAUGACAAAAGAGAAGGGCAAAAGUGUGUUUAUCAGCUGCAAAGUGACCGGAUUAUCCAGCACUUAUGUUCACUGGUACCAAAAGAAAGAAGGUGAAGGUCUCACAAGGAUCCUGUAUGCCAACAGUGAAAGCAAACCUGUUCCUGAUAAAAACCAUCCUGAAGCAAAGGACUUCGAUGUGAGGAUACAGUCUGAUAAUUAUGAUCUGAAGAUAGCAGAACUGAAGGAAAGCCACACAGCAGUUUAUUACUGUGCCAGCUGGCAAAGCUCCCACAGUGACAGUAAAUAUGUACAGUGUGUACAAAAACCCUGA